UACGGAGGAUCCGAGCGUUAUCCGGAUUUAUUGGGUUUAAAGGGUGCGCAGGCGGGAGAUUAAGUCGGCGGUGAAAUUUUGCAGCUCAACUGUAAAAGUGCCUUCGAUACUGGUUUCCUUGAGUGUGGAUGAAGUAGGCGGAAUUUGUGGUGUAGCGGUGAAAUGCUUAGAUAUCACGAGGAACUCCGAUUGCGCAGGCAGCUUACUAAACCACUACUGACGCUCAGGCACGAAGGCGUGGGGAUCAAACAGGAUUAGAUACCCCUGUA
rnacentral:rRNA from 1 species